UAAAUCUUAAAAUACUUCUAAGCCAUAAGUGAACCAAUUAAAUCAUUAUUAUAAACAUCGACAAUCAUUCCACCAUUCGUAUUUUCAUGACGAAGUAAAACUUUAAUUGUUUUCCGUCUGUUUUCAUUUCCUAACAGCAUUUUCUUCAAUUACAGUUUAAUGGUUUGAAAAUGUAACUUUUUGUGUAAAUGUCACGUUUGAUGACCUUCCAGACAGCCAGCGACCGCAGGGACGUCAACAUCUUUAGAUUAAAAAACCUGCCAUGAUGACCCCAGAUUAGCUAGCUGCCACUGCUAAUCAAACAAAUGCCACUAAACAACGUAGUAUCAAAUAUGACGGGAACCAACGAUUUUUUGCCCCUGACCUCUCAGCUGAGACCGCACUUUUAAUGUGGCCAGGAAAGUGUUUGCCAAGAGAGGGACUCUCCACGGAUUCCAGUAUAAUCCAUGCAAGAUGAGGAUCAUCCACAAUGGGAGAACACGCCUGUCUGCACCACCAAAAGAAUCAGAUGACUUCCAUCGCGAACACGGCUGAGAGGUCUGGCCAGGAUAACAGCGAAUUAUCUGCUUUCUUACACGUAAGAACCAGCUCACACUGACUAUCAUGUAGUAAUGAAACGAAACUGACCCUCCUUUCUUUUUCUCAACCUACUGAAUUUUUAGCAUCUAUUAUUUUGAAAAGACUCUAUAUUUUGGAUGGUGCCUGUGCAGCCAGGGUUGUUCAAUUAUUUUAUUUGUACAACUUCUGUUGCUUCUGAAACUUUCAUUUCACCAGACCUAAAUGGACAUUUACUGACUUACAUUGUUGUUACUACAGUGUUAUUUUUACACCAUGUGGGUUGAAUACAUGGUGUUCUACUAGAUAACAAGGUGCAUGGUUGGUGGACACCACUUGUUGCCUGUGGAGUUAGGUUAGCACAGUUAGCUGCUCCUCCGUAUGGUGGAUCAGCACAAGUCCUACAGUUUCUUGUACUGAGUGAGGGGAGGGCAAGUGUUCAAAUGUUCAUAUAUCUACAUGUAUAUUUGUCUUUUGUUUAUCUUUACAUCUACCUCACACUCAGCACACCAGUAUUAUCUUCAGUGUGUUUGUGUUUGUAAAUCCCGCUGCUGUAUUGACUACUUUCAAUGUUUUUGUCAAUGUUGUUGUGUUUGUAUGUGUUUAAUAUGUUUGAAAGUCAAUAAAAAAUAUUGUUGAAAAAAAACCCAAACAAAUGCCGCGCUCGACUCGAAGCUGUGUGACUGUCAUCAUAUGUACUUUCCAAUAAGGCACAGCAGCAGAGGGAAACAGCGACUUCCCUCUUCCAAACUAUUGCUGCUGCCAUGAACAACAAGACUAGCUUGUUAGCAAGACAGGAGGAUAGCAUGCUGUGUUGCUCGUUCACACAUUCAGCAGUUAUGGAGCAACAUCAUCAUUUGUUUGGAGUCUUGUUUCCGUCCGCCUGCCAAAUGUCAGGCCAAAAUUCACUCUCUUUUAUCUCAGUUUUGGGGCUCCGCCAGCGUCUGAGAGCCUUUUUAUGCUGAAAACAGCUGCCAGCUGGAUCCACAGUGGUAACAGUGAACCAAAACAGGAAAGUCACAGGCUGGGUAGUUAAACAAUGACUUGAAGCUCCCUCCCUCCAGAGAGUGACUCCUUUCAUUCCCACAUUUGUUUCACAUUGUAAUUUCAUACAUUGUGAUGAAAAUAUCAGUUAUAGCCUCCAAAUUAAAGGGAUAUGUUCAUUA